rnacentral:rRNA from 1 species
UAAUAGAAUGAAUUUGUGUGGAUGCAAGUAACUGAUAACGGAUACGGCUUUUCAAAAAACAGCGUAGCAAAGAUUAUUAAUUGUACCUUUUGUAUCAGGGUUUUAGGAAUAAUUUGAGGUAUAGAGAGUCCCAAAGAGAAGUGAUAUUUUUUUUACUAGUCCUUUAUUGCACUAAAGUGGGGAAUGGAAAGAAUGAGGGUAUAUCUUACUCAAACUUCUUUAUAAUUGGUUUUGGGAUAAUUUGAUACACAGUAUCGUAAAAAUUUGGGGAUAAGCUAAGAAAAGUAAAGCAACUAAAAGAAAUCUCUGUUAAAUGAGUUAUUGAAAGGAUUUUGUUUAGCUUCUUUGAAAUUGUUCUAAUAAGGUUUUGAACUCCAAAUAAUUUAAAAAAAUCUAGAAAUUAGUAUUUCCGGAUAUUUAACUUUAAGAACUCGGCAAAUCUGGGGUUGGCCUGUUUGUUAAAAACAUCUCUUAAAGAUAACAAUUUUAAGUAUUACCUGCCCGGUGCAUAAGAGUUUACGGCUGCAGGACUGUUUACUGCACGAAGGUAGCAUAAUAACUUGCCCUUUAAUUUUGGGAUGGAAUGAAAGGUAGGACUAAAUUCCCUCUUUUUUAAGUUUAUUCGUGGGAAAUUGAAUUUUGAGUUAAAAUGCUCAAAUAUUUCGACGGGACGAGAAGACCCUGUAGAUUUUUAAUCUCCUAUAUACCCUAAUUAAUUAUGUAGUAGAUUUUACCUGGGAAGGGGGAGCCAAACAGCUUUAUAUAUGUGACGGUUUACCUUCCAAUAUCCGAUCCACUUAAUAAGUGAUAAGAGGAAAUAAAUACCUCAGGGGUAACAGCGUGAUUCUUCCCCUUAGCACAAACAAGGUGGAGGAGUUUACGACCUCGAUGUUGAAUUGGGAAGAAAUAACCGAUGGAAAAGGCGUUAGAAUCAGUCUGUUCGACUGUUAAAAUCCCACAUGAUUUGAGUUUAGACCGACGUGAGUCAGGUCAGAUCCUAUCCGUCGGUAGCGUUUCUUACGUAGUACGAAAGGACCUGUAAGCAGCUUGAAAAGCUU